rnacentral:lncRNA from 1 species
UAUGUGGAUAUGAUAGCACUGGACACUUCGAGGCUCCAUUGGCAAAACAUGCGGCAAAUAGGAAACCAAGGGACCUUUGACAUUUAAGAAGUAUAUGCCCUAAGAUUUCUACAGAUCCUGAAAUUCAUCACUACGGCAGAAUCACGCAUCUUAUAGAUGGUGCUAAGUUUUUACAGUUGUCUUAGCCCCAGUGGUUCUCAAAGUGGGGUUCCUGGCCCAGCAGCAGCAUCCCGCUAGGAACUUCUUAGAAAUGCAAAGAAAACCAAGAAUAAAAUGACACCUGACAACCUUGCCAGCUCAGCACAUCUGGAGGCACUAAAUGUCUGACCCAGGAAAUGUGCAUCAAACUGACG